rnacentral:rRNA from 1 species
AAAGUUUAAGUUAAGCCUGAAUAAAAAGAUUUUAGUGUGUUUUGAUAGGCUCUAUUUUAAAGUUUCGUUUUUUUAUUUAUUAUUUUAAUAAGACUGGGAAAAUUUUACCUUUUGCAUCAUGUAUAAAUAAAUUUUUAUCGGAGGUCAAAAAUUACGAACUAUUAAGAAUAAUCGCCAUUAGGUUUAAAUUGUGGUAACACUUUAAUAAAAAUAGCGAUUGGAAUGAUAUGUUAACAUUUAAUAGAUUCUUAUUAAAUUUUAUUUGAAUAAUUCUAACUUAUAGAAAUAUAAAAUGUGGGAGGAGAUAAGUCCUUCUAUUAGAAUUAAAAUAGAAUAUUUAUAGUCCUAAGUAUAAAUAUUAAUGUUAGUUUGAAUUUAUAAAAAUUCUUUAAGCUCAAGUAUUUAAUUUUUAUCUUAAUACAAUUUCAAGGGAGUUAAAAAAACCAACCUAAAAAAUAUAUUUUUAUUAGUAGUAAACGUGUAAAAAGAAAAAUAAAUAAUGAUCUAUUAGCCUUAUCAAUAUUAAAACCAGGGAAAAAUUACUCGCCCAAAUAUAUUUAGCCUGUUUAUCAAAAACAUCGUAAAUAAUAUUUAUAAUACCUGCUCAGUGAAUAUUUAAACAGCCGCGUUAGUGUUAAGGUAGCAUAGUAAUUAGUUUCUUAAUUGGGAAAUGGAAUGAAUGGUUUCACUAAAAUAUGAUAUUUAUUCUAAUUUGCGAAAUUUUAAUCUGAGUGAAAAUACUCAGAAGAUAUAUUUAGACGAGAAGACCCUAUGAAGCUGGUAGACUUCCAAUGUAAUUAUACGAUAGUUCAUGAGUUUAUUUUUUGGGGUAAAAUUUAAUAAUAGUAUUAAUAUUGGCUUACUAAAUAAUAUCCUCUUGGAAUUAUGAAAAAGCUCCUCUAGGGAUAACAGCAUUAUGCUUAAAAGAGUUCUUAUCAGAAUAAGCGUUUGUGACCUCGAUGUUGAAUUAAAUACUCUUAUAUGUGCAGGAGCUUAUAAGAGAUGGUCUGUUCGACCAACUACAUUUACAUGAUUUGAGUUAAAAUCGACGCAAGUCAGAUUGGUUUCUAUCUAAUAUAUAAAUUUUUAUUACUUAGUACGAAAGGAAUAGCCAUAAUUUUAAUU